GGCGGCCGGGCCGCGGGGUGGGGGCACGGACGAGGUCGCCCAGCCAAGCGCGGCCAGGCCUUUGCCCCACCACCGUCCGCGCUGGCCGAGAGUGCCCACCUGCUGUCUCUGGGCCCUGGCACCAGCCCGGCCGCCUCCGCGCCCCACCCGCAGCUUGCACGGUGCGGUGUUGAAGGGCAAGCCUGGCUCUCCCGGCCCACAGCAGCUGAGCUCGCGGGCGUGGGUGGGAAAGGGGAGGCCGGGUCAAGGGCCGCUGCCCGGAAGGAAGAGCCCUCGAGGCGCCCUCCCGUCCCUGUUCCCGGAGCCGCUCUCCAGGCUGGCGGGCGGGGCCGGUGGCCGGGGCGUGACCCUGUCUCCGAGAGGAAGCCCCUUGGCCAGCUGGGGCCGGGCAGGUAGAUAGGUGGGACAAGGUCAGCUAGGGCAAGGGGGCAGCGAGGUCCCCUCUGGAGAAGCAGGAUGGCCGGGGACCCAAGUCCUUACCACCCAGGGCAGAGCAGGGACGCCCAGGCCUGGGCAGACCCACCAGGGCCGGUGCCCUCGGCUGUCUCCCCGUGUCCCGCCAGGGCUCCGAGACCCUGCAUCUGUGGGUCAGGGCUGCUCUCACGUGGCUGCUGUCACGCAGUGGGACCUCGUGUGUGGGGAUGGCUGGAAGGUCCCCCUGCAGCACACGGGCCACCUCCUGGGCUGCCUGCUGGGCGCGGUGCUCCCGGGUGCUGGCUGCGACAGGGGAGCCCUGCCCCUCAUGCCCUCUCCUCGCCACCUUCCUCCCGGUGCCAUCUGUGUCCCCACUCCCACCAGGUUUGGCCGCCGGGCUGUUUUUGUGUCCUCCCUGGUCCUGGCCACUGUCCUUGGGGCCAGCAAGGCCCUGGCUGCCAGUUUCCCUGCCCUCCUGGCCCUGCGGCUGCUCCACGGGGGCGCCCUGGUAGGGGCCUCCCUGGCCCUCUCUGUGGCGCGUGAGUACCAGGGAGCUGCCCCCCACUCUCCCGGGAUGGGUGGUUGCCUGCCCGCCGCGAGUCCUCGGCUCAGGCCACCCCUUCUGCCCCAGGCCUGGAGCUGUGUGACCCCGUGCACCGCCUGGCCUUCUCCUCGGGUGCCAGCCUCUGCUGGGUGCACUACUGCUGCCCAGGCUGGCCGUGUUGGCACAGGACUGGCGCCUUCUGCAGGGGCUGAUUGCUCUGGUGACCGGGCUCCUGCUGCUCUUUUGGGGGUGAAUGUAGUGGGAGCAGGCUGGUGGCUGCCCUGGGAGCAAAUGUACCUGUUCAUUCUCUCUCUCCGAGGAGAGGUCACAGCCAUGCCGCUGUCCCCACCCUCUGGGUCCGGGAGGGGCUGGCCUCUGCGACCCCGGGAAGGAGGUGGAGGAAGCCAGGGCACCCUCACCAACACCACAGGUUCCCAGCCCUGUUUCCCAAGUCUCCCUGCUGGCUGCUGGCCACGGGACAGGUGGCCCAGGCCAGGAGGAUCCUGUGGCACUUCGCGGAAGCCAGCGGUGUGGACCCUGAGCAGGGCUCCCUGGAGGACAGCUCCCUGGCUACAGAGCUGGCCGAGUUGGCUACAGGCAGCACCCAGCCUCGGUACCACUCGGUCCUGGGCCUCCUGCACAGCCACGUCACCUGGAGAAACACGCUCAUCCUGGGCAUCAGCUCGCUGGUUGGCGGGGGCAUCCGAGCCAGCUUCCUGCGCAGCCUGGCCCCAUGAGAGACAUCCUUCUACCUGCCCUAUUUCCCGGAGGCCGGCCUGGAGGCCACAGCCAUCAUCUGCUUGCUCCUGACUGCUGAUCGCUGGGGUCGCCGCCUCAUCCUGCUGCUGGGCACCCUGGUCACAGGCCUGGCAUCCCUGCUGCUGCUUGCUGGGGCUCAGUGUGAGUUUGGGGCCCCGUGGGCCACACAGGAGGUGGUUGUAUUUGGGCUGAGGGUCUAGGGUCAGGCCCUGCCUGGGGGGCUGGUGCCAGUAGGGGCAGUAGGAAGCCGAGGGCCCCAGGACUGGCCUGUUUUUCUCUCUGUGCUCUGAUGUACAGUUGGGGAAACUGGGUGGGGCCAAGAGUUAAGGGCCUGAGAGGAUCCAGGACAGACUGAAUACAAGGACCCCAUCCAGGUCCAGACUGUGAGGCACCUGCUCUGGGCACUGGAUGCAACACAGGCUGAGGGUGUCCUGCACAGUAGCAGCCAUGGCGUGAGCAGGGCCUUGGCCAGAAGGAGCCAGAAUUUUAAAAAGCUGGGCAUGCUGGCCCACAGCUGCCCUCCCAGCACUGUGAGGCUGAGGCAGAAUCCCAAGGUUGAGCUCACCUGGGGCACUUUAGUGAGGCCCUGUCUCAGAAUGAAAAACAGGGAAGUAGCUCUGUGUGAAGGGCCUUGCUUUAAUCUCCAGUACUGCCCAAAAUACAAAACAACACAAGGAAAGUACUCAGAAUUUUGGGACAAUUCUCAGAAUUGCAGAAGUAGCAGGAAAUGAGGUACCCAGCCUGGUGUCCACUGUCCCUGCACUGUGACCCAUCACGAAGAAGCCCCUGGAAUCAGCCAGGCUGGCGUCAGGCUGCAGGGUGGGGUAGGUGUGCGCCUGGGACAGCUGUGCCCACACGGGGAGGGAGGCCCUGUGUGGCCGGGCAGGCGCUGUGGAGAGUCCAGCAACCCUGUCCUUUGUCCUAGACCUGCCAGGCUGGAUCUCGCUGCCCCUGUCGGUCCUGGGCCUCCUGGCCUCCCAGACCAUGUCGGUGCUCAGCAGCCUCUUUGUGGCUGAGGCCUGCCCCACGGUAAUCAGGUGAGCAGCAUCUGCCCGGCAGCACUGUCCCCACAUCACCUUCCUGAACCCUGUGGCGUCCUGCGGGUGCCAAGCCAGGGAGGCAGAGCUCAGGGAAGUGGCUUUCUGGCUCCCAAUGGCAGGACAGAAUCCGCGGGGUUUCCUGGGACUCCAUCCUGGUCUGGGCCCACCAGCUGCACCUCCUCUCCCCACAGGGGCGCUGCGCUGGGCCUCGUGCUGGGCGCCAGGUCCCUGGGCCAGGCAGCUGCGCCCCUCACGGAGAUGGCCGGCCAGCGGGGCUUCUUCCUGCAGCACACGGUGCUGGCCUCCGUGGCCAUCCUCGCCCUGCUCUGUAUCCUGCUGCUGCCCGAGACCUGCGGCCGAGCACUGCCUGUGUCGCUGGAGGAUGCCGACCGCCCCCAGGACCGCCUGCCCCUUCUGCGGCCCUCCCACUGAGAUGGCAGCCACAGCCCCAUGGCACCCAGGAGCUGGGGGAGCCACGGUGGGCAGCCUCCGGCGGGGCAGACAGCGUGUCCACAGCCAGGGCUGUCCCCCAGGGGGCUCUCCCGGGCCGCCUGGCCAGGAGUGCAAGAUAAAGGGAGCCCUAGUAUCUGGCCACCUUCCUGGGUCUUUCUUGGCGUUGCCUGGCAGGGCCCGUGCUGUGCCCCCGACCCUGGGCCUGGAGGCGGCUCCGGCCCCUUUCUGCCUUGAGAAACCCUACUCUUGGGGGCAAGGACUGCGCCCCGCGAGGUCAGUGUGGCACUCGGCGUGUCAGGCGAACGGGGCUCGUUUUUUUAAAUUCAGAUUCACACACGGCGCAUCCACCAGGGGGCGCCAA
rnacentral:lncRNA from 1 species